rnacentral:rRNA from 1 species
AGUGAACGCUGGCGGUAGGCCUAACACAUGCAAGUCGAACGGCAGCACAGUAAGAGCUUGCUCUUACGGGUGGCGAGUGGAGGACGGGUGAGGAAUACAUCGGAAUCUACUUUUUCGUGGGGGAUAACGUAGGGAAACUUACGCUAAUACCGCAUACGACCUACGGGUGAAAGCAGGGGAUCUUCGGACCUUGCGCGAUUGAAUGAGCCGAUGUCGGAUUAGCUAGUUGGCGGGGUAAAGGCCCACCAAGGCGACGAUCCGUAGCUGGUCUGAGAGGAGGAUCAGCCACACUGGGACUGAGACACGGUCCAGACUCCUACGGGAGGCAGCAGUGGGGAAUAUUGGACAAUGGGCGGAAGCCUGAUCCAGCCAUACCGCGUGGGUGAAGAAGGCCUUCGGGUUGUAAAGCCCUUUUGUUGGGAAAGAAAAGCAGCAGGUUAAUACCCCGCUGUUCUGACGGUACCCAAAGAAUAAGCACCGGCUAACUUCGUG